rnacentral:rRNA from 1 species
CACGUAGGCACCAAGCGUUAUCCGGAUUUAUUGGGCGUAAAGAGCUCGUAGGCGGUUCGGUAAGUCGGGUGUGAAAACUCUGGGCUCAACCCAGAGAGGCCACCCGAUACUGCUGUGACUAGAGUGCGGUAGGGGAGCGGGGAAUUCCUGGUGUAGCGGUGAAAUGCGCAGAUAUCAGGAGGAACACCAGCGGCGAAGGCGCCGCUCUGGGCCGUAACUGACGCUGAGGAGCGAAAGCAUGGGUAGCAAACAGGAUUAGAUACCCUGGUAGUCCAUGCCGUAAACGUUGGGCACUAGGUGUGGGUCUCAACCAACGAGAUCCGCGCCGUCGCUAACGCAUUAAGUGCCCCGCCUGGGGAGUACGGUCGCAAGACUAAA